UACAGCCUGUAGCUCAGUGGUAGAGUGCUUGCCUAGCAUGCAAAAGGCCCUGGGUUCCAUCCCUAGCACUGAAA
rnacentral:tRNA from 1 species